UGCCUUAGUACGGCGAGUGAAGCGGCAAAAGCUCAAAUUUGAAAUCUGGCACCUUCGGUGUCCGAGUUGUAAUUUGAAGAAGUAACUUUGGGGCUGGUCCUUGUCUAUGUUCCUUGGAACAGGACGUCAUAGAGGGUGAGAAUCCCGUGUGGCGAGGAUCCCAGUUCUUUGUAAAGUGCUUUCGACGAGUCGAGUUGUUUGGGAAUGCAGCUCUAAGUGGGUGGUAAAUUCCAUCUAAAGCUAAAUAUUGGCGAGAGACCGAUAGCGAACAAGUACAGUGAUGGAAAGAUGAAAAGAACUUUGAAAAGAGAGUGAAAAAGUACGUGAAAUUGUUGAAAGGGAAGGGCAUUUGAUCAGACAUGGUGUUUUGCGACCCUCGCUCCUUGUGGGUGGGGAUCUCGCAGCUCACUGGGCCAACAUCGGUUUUGGCGGCAGGAUAAAACUUUGGGAAUGUAACUUGUCUUCGGAGAAGUAUUAUAGCCCAAGGCAAUACUGCCAGCCGGGACCGAGGACUGCGACUUUUGUCAAGGAUGUUGGCAUAAUGGUUAUAUGCCGCCCGUCUUGAAACACGGACCAAGGAGUCUAACGUCUAUGCGAGUGUUUGGGUGUAAAACCCAUACGCGUAAUGAAAGUGAACGUAGGUGAGGGCCUUUCGAGGUGCAUCAUCGACCGAUCCUGAUGUUUUCAGAUGGAUUUGAGUA
rnacentral:rRNA from 1 species